ACUGUUCUAAGGGCUUUUGGACAGGCAGUUGUGAAAUUUUCCCCCAGAAGAAUCUCUGGGGACCCAGUUGUCACACACCGCUGGAUUCACUGCGGUGUUGAUUCUGCCUCCUGAUGAAGUUCUUCCCGAGUCUGACUUCGAGCCCGCCUGCUUUAUUAAGCACGUUUUUCUCCAGUCGUUUUUUUUUUUUUUUAAUGGAAAAAGGAACAGGGAGAAGGCUUUUCUCGAACCUGUUUGCAGAGAGCCGUCUUGCCCGCUUUGAGGGCCCUUUCUUGGGAGACCUGUUUGCUUUGUUCAACCUCUGAAUUCAGCAGACCCCAAAUCCACCAAGGCCACUAGCUUGUGAGUGAAUGUGGUCCCUUCAGGUAAGGGCCAGACAGCCCCUGCCAGGGCUUGGGGAGGGUUUUCCUAGAGGAAUCCUGGCAGUAAAAAAACCAACCCCCAAACUCUCCAAGUGCUGGACGCUGGAGAAUCCCAGCAAGGAAAAGGAACAAAUCUUAUCUCAUGCCGGAAGAUAACCUCUUCCCUUUGUUGGCGCCUUUCCUUGCGUUCAGGAUGAAUUAAAAUUCUUAUCUGCUCUGCAUCCAGUGAACUUGGCCUCGCCUUCCUGAUUGUUUGCUGCGGCUGACUUUCCCAAGCUUUGCGGGGUUAUUUUUGCCUCUGGGUGGUGGUCAUUCCUUCCUUCCAUGGCAUUUGGUUCCACACAGUCACAGAAAAAGAGUAAUUUAGCAAACACCCUCAAAAUGGCAGGACUGGCCCCCAAAACCUACUUUCAUUUUCCUCUGUUCUGGGUUGUGGGUAAUUUCUUGACAACUACAAGAAAGAAGACAAUGAGAAAUGAAUUGUUUUUUCCAAUACGAUUGUGAACAGAUGUAUAACCUCCUAGUCGCAGCAACGUUCUAGGAAUCCCUUACACCACUUUAAAGGGGCAGGAAAAUGGGCAGAGGUGCUGAGGGCUGGGUGAGUGCUAAGCAUUGGCAGGGCUCAGCCUCAUCCUGACGAGAGCUGCAGCCAUAACCUGGGUCACCUUUGCUGUCUCGGGCUUCUAAAUUUGGCAGCGAGAACAGACUCGCUUCCUUUGAGCAAUUGAUCUGAAUAGCAGAAUCCCAUUCUGAUGGUCCGAAUCACAUUUACAGGCUGUGGGGGUGAAGGCCGUGCUAAUUGGCCACUUGCCUCACCACUGGCUUUGAAACAAUCGCUUGUAUUCUCUGCGCGGCAGGAAGCAGCAGACCCAUCAAGGCCCUGGGCUCACUCUUUGUUCUGACUUUAUGGCAUUUUAUGCCACAAUAAGAAACACUGUGUACUCCGUGGGAGCCCAUUGUGCCAGGCUGCAAGGAUGUGGGCUCCGGUGCAGAGGGCCUGGUGCUCUUCCCCAGGAAGAAGAGGGGCUUUGUGACAGGCUGGGGGACAAAACAAGGGGUGCUGGACACUGUUACUGAGGCAACUGCCUGGCCAGUGUGGAGGCAGCUUUAGUCCCUGGGACCGUUUCUGUGCCCAAGGAGAGGGAGGGCAGGGGAAGGAUGGAAUUUCAUCUAGAGUAGCAGGUCCUGGUUGCCUGGUAAAUUAUGCAUCAGGACUGGGCUAGCCACUGCCUCCGUUUUCUCUGGGCUCCUGAGAUAACCUCCACCUGCCUCUAGAUUCUGUGCCAGCUGAUCGUUAUCUAUCUCAUCAACUCUUGUUCCAUCAGGAAACUGCAUCUUGAGACCCAGACACAUGCAAAUGGCCUUCUGAGUUCAUUCUUGAUGGAGAGGAGCUGGAAGAAUCCACUAAGGACAAAUUGCCCUGUGGAUUUAGUAAGAGAUCUGUAUAUAGUGGAGCCCCCUGAGGCUGGCUUGUUAAAGUAGUAUCUUCUGCUUCCCUGACAGCAAAUUCGUGUGCACUGUUUACUGGGAAAUAAUUAUGGUUUUCGGCACUGGCAAAUGGAGUCCUAUUUCUAAUGGGAGACAGUGGUUGGCAAACAUGAAACCCUGAGUUUCCCUCUGAGUCUGAGCUGUGAACUGAAGUCGAUGACAUUGACAAGUCUACUGGAAUAUCAUCUCUCAGAGCAGAAUGCAUGAAUGAUGCAGGAGGGUUAUAGGAUGAAUUCACUGAUGAUCUUGGAGAUAUUGGUCUGCCAGAAAUAAAGUAGUCAAGAGAAUUUUGAGAACUGU
rnacentral:lncRNA from 1 species